rnacentral:sRNA from 1 species
GGAGCAGAAGCAGACGCCUGGAGCCUGGGACCAAGGCUGUAGGCCGAGGACAGGGCCAGGGGCCAGGCUGCUGAUGUCUGUCUCUGGUUCUUGCCCCAGAAUCAGUUCUUCAUUAGCUGCUCAGAUGGGCGGACGGUUCUGAACAAGGUGGGCGAUGAGAUUGUGGACAGAAUCCUGAAGGCCCACAAGUAAGGUGGACUGUCAGGAAGGUGGGGACUGUGGGUGUGGUUUGAGCCCAGUUGAAGGGGGUGGGGUUUGAGGGACCAGUCGCACCUCUGGCUCCACCUUCUCCCCAGACAGGGGCAGUGUUACCGAGUCUACGUGCUUUUGCCCUUACUCCCUGGCUUCGAGGGUGACAUCUCCACGGGCGGUGGCAACUCCAUCCAGGCCAUUCUGCACUUUACUUACAGGACCCUGUGUCGUGGGGAGUAUUCAAUCCUGCAUCGCCUCAAAGCAGCCAUGGGGACAGCAUGGCGGGACUAUAUUUCCAUCUGCGGGCUUCGUACCCAUGGAGAGCUAGGCGGGCACCCCGUCUCGGAACUCAUCUACAUCCACAGCAAGAUGCUCAUCGCAGAUGACCGGACAGUCAUCAUCGGUUCUGCAAACAUCAAUGACCGGAGCUUGCUGGGGAA